CGCAAUGGACGAAAGUCUGACGGAGCAACGCCGCGUGAGUGAGGAAGGCCUUCGGGUCGUAAAGCUCUGUUGUGAGGGAAGAAGCGGUACCGUUCGAAUAGGGCGGUACCUUGACGGUACCUCACCAGAAAGCCACGGCUAACUACGUGCCAGCAG
rnacentral:rRNA from 1 species